UCUCGGCGGGUCGGUAUCAGUGUGACCUGCCGGACCCCCAGACCCAGUCUGGGCCUCAGUGGCCGCGCCUGUGAAGACUAGCUUCGGCCCUCCCGCGGCUGAGAGUGUGAAAAGGGGUGGCGUCCAGGCGCCUCAGUGUUUCCCAAAGGAGCUUCUUGACUUCAGGACGCUAGACCUCGCUGCUGGGGUGCGCUCCUCUCCACCCCACCCUCCCAGACCUCACCGCCACCAGCCCGCCGACCUCCCGCCGACCUCCCGCUGACCAGCUCUGACCACCCGCUGACCUCCCGCUGAUGGUUGGCACGAGAGUCACUUUGUAACCAUCACAGCACUGUGAUUCAAAAGGUGGAACAGGCACUGUGAAAUAGGGAUGAGAAUGGCACCCGCCCCUUGAUGAGCAGCCCCACGAGCCACAGGGCCGACCCUGGAUUCUCUGUGCCAGUUUCUCUAGUGCUGUCCCUCCUCACCCCUGACCUGACUCUGCCUACCCUGGCUUCCUGGGUAAGUCCCUGAGGCACUAGAUGUGCCGCUCGUGGCUCCAGAGAGCUCUUCCUGAGCCCACAAGUGGUGCUGCCUGCCCCUCCCAAUUCCCAGCCCUCCAGGGUGGCCUCCAUCCCACCCGACCCCUCAAAGUCCAGGGUCCUCUAUUUGGCCAAGGACUUACCCAGACCAGUUAGUGCUCCAUGGACCUCAGGGAGUGCACAUCCUGGGGGCUGAAGUCGGGGGCCACCUGUGGACCCCACAGGGUCAGCCAUGACCGGGUGCUGGGCCUCUGGGCGCCGAGUGGCCCUCCCCACCACACCGGCUCACCUGCUGCCCAGAGUUGUGCUUCCGCCGCCGCCUCUUCCUCCUGCGCAGGCACCGGACCACCAGCACCACCAGCAUCACCAGCACCACCAGCAGCAGGAGCAGCAGGAGCAGCCGAGGGGUGUGAGGGGCUGGCAGCGCUGUGGCCCCCAAGGCCCUGGGGCUCCUCGGGGACAGAGGGGUGGAGGACUCUGGGGGGAGAAAGGAGACUGGGUGACAGAAGAGAAAGGCCCAGCCAGGACAAGACAGGCAGGCCUGCAGGGCACUAGCUUUGUGACCCCGGGCGGGCUGCCGGCCUCUCCGAGCCUCAGUCUGUUCGCCUGUAAAAUGGGAGAGGCAGCACCUCCACCGCCUAAGGGAGUGUGAAGUGCUGAGAAGGGGUGUCUGGCACCGGGGGGUUGGCUUUUAUUUUAUAACUGGACAAACUAGCGAUGUGCCACUUAAAGACGUUUGGGUCAAGGACAGAGCAGGGGGGGACAGCAGGUCCAGGAGGCGGUGCCCAGGGGCGUAGGAGGCCCUGUGGAGCUGUGUGUAACGACUCUCUGAUGUUCACAGGAUGAAAUCUCUGAAGAUACAUUUCUCAGAAUGUCUCCUGUCAAGCAACUGUCUCUUUUUUUUUUAAAGAUUUAUUUAUGCAUUCAAGAACUGGGGUACAGACCAGAGGUGUGGGGGAUGAGCGGAUUCACCGAGAGACAGAGUGGGGAGCAGAACAGGCAGACCUACUAAAAUCCACUGCUGAGGGGAGACAGGAGAGGUCUGCUGUACCCUGUGGGUAGUUCCCUGGCCGGGGAUCGAACUCCUGCUGCAGAGGCUGCGAACAGCUUCACAGUGCUGUGCCUAACCCUUGAUGCCACCAGGGAGGCCCCUAGCAAGUCUUGACUGGAUGUUUCUAGAACUUAUUAUCAAUUUGGGUCUAGCCCUUCCUCCCCUAACAGUCUGUGAGCUCCACGUGGGCAAGAAGAACAUGGUCCAUCUUAUUUACUGCCAGAGUCUACA